rnacentral:rRNA from 1 species
CCUACGGGUGGCAGCAGUGAGGAAUAUUGGUCAAUGGGCGCAAGCCUGAACCAGCCAAGUCGCGUGAGGGAUGACGGUCCUAUGGAUUGUAAACCUCUUUUGUCGGGGAGCAAGGCACGCCGCGUGUGGCGGGAAGGAGAGUACCCGCAGAAAAAGCAUCGGCUAACUCCGUGCCAGCAGCCGCGGUAAUACGGGGGAUGCGAGCGUUAUCGGGAUUUAUUGGGGGUAAAGGGUGCGUAGGCGGAAGGUUAAGUCAGCGGUCAAAUGUCGGUGCUCAACACCGGCCUGCCGUUGAAACUGGUCAUCUUGAGUGAGCGAGAGGUAUGCGGAAUGCGUGGUGUAGCGGUGAAAUGCAUAGAUAUCACGCAGAACUCCGAUUGCGAAGGCAGCAUGCUGGCGCUCAACUGACGCUGAGGCGCGAAAGCGUGGGGAUCGAACAGGAUUAGAUACCCGGGUAGUC